rnacentral:lncRNA from 9 species
CUGGGGCAGCGGGUCGUGCGCGGCACGCAGGGCUAGCGGGAAGGCCUCGGCGAGCUUGGUGUUGUUGGGCAGGCCAUGCACGCGGCUGUCGGGCAGCGGCGUGCGGUGGCGGCACACCGGGCACGCGAUGGCGCCUGGCGGGCCGUGCCAGGGCGGCGGGCGCAGCGGGCGUUCAGGCGCGGUGGUAGCGGCGGCGGCGGCGGCGCGGAGCUGCAGUUGGGUCAAGCACUCCUGGCAGAAGGUGUGCAAACACGCCAGCAGCUUGGGCGCGCGCCGGUCUGCGUCGAAGUAGUUGUAGCAGAUCUUGCACUCGUAGUCCUCGAGCGGAGGGAGGCCGGAGAUCGCCACCGCUGCGCUCCGGGCUCCGGCCUCCCGACCGUCCCGGGCUCCCACCGCGGUGCUUCCUGCUCCUGUGGAGCUCCCAGGGCUGCUGGUUGGACUCUGCUCGCCGCCGCCGCUGUCGCUUGCCGGCGCUGCCAUGGCAUGAUCCGCCCCUCAUCAGGGUUAAGGCUGGUCCUCACCCUAAGAAGAGAGAGCCUCCCCAACCCCAAGAAGGAAGGGAAAGAGGAUGGCUCUCUGGGUCCCUGUGAGAUGGGAAUGUUCCCACUUUCUCUCUGGAUUCUCUGCAAAAGACAGCAAGAUACCCCAGGGGAUAUUGGUGGAAAAGAUGAAUGCAUAGGAAUCAAGCUGAAGGAAGAGAAAGAAGGAAAGAAAAGAAACCAGUGAAGCACAGAUGUGCAGACCAGAGGAGGAAUUGUCCUAACUAUUGUUCCUAUGACAAUUGAAAAUAAAUGUAGUUUUUACUCUGCGUGGCUAGAGAAUGUGAUUGAUGUCUUACGUUUGAAAGAUCUUAGGCGAAGCUCAUUAAAAACUACACACUUUCCAUUUCCUAGUUUCAAAUCUUAAAAAUGAGAUUUUUUGAAAGUAUAUCAUUUUGUGAUGGAGGCUGUGAACAAUGAACAGCAGGGUGACAGAACACCAGAAAAAGACCAGAAUGUUACAAAGUUACACAAACCAAACAAUAGUGGAGGGAGUUAAGUUCUUAUCCCUCUCUUCCUGCCAUCUCC